rnacentral:rRNA from 1 species
UAGGGAAUCUUCCACAAUGGACGCAAGUCUGAUGGAGCAACGCCGCGUGAGUGAAGAAGGUUUUCGGACCGUAAAGCUCUGUUGUUGGUGAAGAAGGAUAGAGGUAGUAACUGGCCUUUAUUUGACGGUAAUCAACCAGAAAGUCACGGCUAACUACGUGCCAGCAGCCGCGGUAAUACGUAGGUGGCAAGCGUUGUCCGGAUUUAUUGGGCGUAAAGCGAGCGCAGGCGGAAGAAUAAGUCUGAUGUGAAAGCCCUCGGCUUAACCGAGGAAUUGCAUCGGAAACUGUUUUCUUGAGUGCAGAAGAGGAGAGUAGAACUCCAUGUGUAGCGGUGGAAUGCGUAGAUAUAUGGAAGAAUACCAGUGGCGAAGGCGGCUCUCUGGUCUGCAACUGACGCUGAGGCUCGAAAGCAUGGUAGCGAACAGGAUUAGAUACCCUGGUAGUCCAUGCCGUAAAACGAUGAGUGCUAAGUGUUGGGAGGCUUCCGCCUCUCAGUGCUGCAGCUAACGCAUUAAGCACUCCGCCUGGGGGAGUACGACCGC